rnacentral:rRNA from 1 species
CACGUAGGCGGCAUGGUAAGUCAAAGGUGAAAGCCCUCGGCUCAACCGAGGAACUGCCUUUGAAACUGCUUUGCUUGAGUCCGGGAGGGGGGAGCGGAAUUCCCAGAGUAGCGGUGAAAUGCGUAGAUACUGGGAGGAACACCGGUGGCGAAGGCGGCUCCCUGGACCGGUACUGACGCUGAGGUGCGAAAGCGUGGGUAGCAAACA